UGUUAAAAAUUUCAUCUAUUUCUACUAUUAAAAAUUAGCGUAGCUGAUGAAGUAGUCAGAUAGUUACACGGGGUAUGCCAUGUGUACUUCUUGUUGACAUACAUGGACAGUUUUUAAUAUUAAACAUAGAUGGAAUUUUUAACA
rfam:Gossypium hirsutum cultivar TM-1 chromosome 19, whole genome shotgun sequence